UGCCCUACAGUUCCCCGUCCGGGAACAAGGAGCUGGUAUCAGGCACCCCCAUCGAGCCCAUGACACCUUGCUUAGCCACACCCUCAAGGGAACUCAGCAGUGAUAAAUAUUAAGCCAUAAGUGAAAACUUGACUUAGUUAAAGCUAAGAGGGCCGGUAAAACUCGUGCCAGCCACCGCGGUUAUACGAGAGGCCCAAGUAGAUAGACACCGGCGUAAAGAGUGGUUAAGUUAAAACUCACACUAAAGCCAAACAUCUUCAAGACUGUUAUACGUAACCGAAGACCGGAAGUUCAACCACGAAAGUGGCUUUAUUUGAUCUGAACCCACGAAAGCUACGGCACAAACUGGGAUUAGAUACCCCACUAUGCCUAGCCCUAAACAUUGAUAGCACCCCACACCCGCUAUCCGCCCGGGAACUACGAGCAACAGCUUAAAACCCAAAGGACUUGGCGGUGCUUUAGAUCCACCUAGAGGAGCCUGUUCUAGAACCGAUAACCCCCGUUCAACCUCACCUCUCCUUGUUUCCCCCGCCUAUAUACCGCCGUCGUCAGCUUACCCUCUGAGGGUCUCAUAGUAAGCAAAACUGGUACAACCUAAAACGUCAGGUCAAGGUGUAGCGUAUGGGGAGGGAAGAAAUGGGCUACAUUCGCUACCCUAGCGAAUACGGACGAUGUACUGAAACGUACAUCUGAAGGAGGAUUUAGCAGUAAGCAG
rnacentral:rRNA from 1 species